CACCCAGCGAUGCUUGUCUGCCAGACAGCCUCUUCCGUCAGGAAAGGGCAAAUGGACACCAGGAAGGGAAGGGAAGGAGUCAUUUGCAAGGGCUGCGGUGAGGACCAGAUCUGCUGAGAGACGGCAGUUCCCUGGGACGCAGAGAACGCUCGCUCACUCACAGCUGUCUUCGUUAGCAUCGCCGUGGACACAGUGAACAGGGCGCUGAUAAGGAAUAAGUCAUUUUUUUCGUGAAGUCCCUUGGCCUCUGGAAGAGCCAGCUUUCAAAGGGCGUGCUCAGCUUGACUCCCUGUUAAAGGAUGCACCUCGGGUUGGAAUACAGAUGCGAUUAAUCCAGAUGGCAUUGAAUUUACUACGGAGAGCCAAGGGCCAACAAGAAGGUGAGCAACCAACAAGGGUCAUUAACAGAAAUAUACAAAACCCACAGGCGUGGGGCGCCACCAACUAGGUGGGGCCCUAGAACCCCACAGAGUCCCUUUAAGUGCUUCUGGAAGUCUGGGGGAAGGAGUAGUCCAGCAUACUCCAUGCGAGACCAUCAGUGGUCGCCUAAGGGCCGGAUGCAGUUUCUGUGGGUGCUUGAAUUGCUGUGUCGUUGAGAGCACUGUGGUCCUGUGGGUCCCACACCAAAGCCUCAAGAUAUCCAAAUAGCUCUCCUCCUCCCUCUGUCUUCACUGUGUUGGAGUCAUGCUGGGGUCUGUUCCAAUUGGGGAGGAUUUAUUCACGCAAGGACCAUUUACUGAGCAUCUGCUAUGUGCCAAAAGAUUCACUGGGGAAUAAAUGUUACAUGGUAUUUGUUCUUUGUGGAGUUUAUGGUCUAGCAGCUGAUGAUAAACACAUGAACAGACAGAUAAAAAAUUUCAAGGAGAGCUACUAAAGAAAUCAACAGGAUGCCAUUCAAUGAUAUAAACUCAUUGGAGGUUGUACUUUGGGAUC